UGGCUCAAUGGUAGAGCGUUCGACUCAAAUACCAAAAGGUCGUGGGUUCGAAUCCCAG
rfam:Schistocephalus solidus strain NST_G2 genome assembly, scaffold: SSLN_scaffold0021157